UUAGGGGUUCCAUCAUCUUCUUCGAUCUGCUCGGACCAUAACCAGCAAAAGAGAUAUACUAUGCCGUCUCAGCCGAAUCAUCUCGAAGAGAUUUUAUGUGGCCACCGUUCUCCUAUCGUCGAAGUGAGGCUUCUGAGAUUUUUGGAAGCUAGAACCUUCAAACGUGGUGGGGAGUUGAUGGGGUGGAAAUGCUUCUCCUUAUGCCAAGGUUUUCCGAUCUUUGACAAUUUCACGUUCAGUUUCCUUAAAGUCGGUGCAUCUGAAGCUCUAUAUAUAGGCUAAAUCUCAGAAACAUGGAGGCAGAGCAGGGGGCAGAGGAACUGAAAAGUCUCAAUCAUAAUAGGGUUGAACUUGAGAGGUUACGCCGUAUGUAAGAGCGGAUGGUCAGUAGGGAGAAGUUAGAAUGAGAGUUGGCUAUUUCCUCCCAUGAGAUACAUGCUACCAGAAGGGUUCACGCUGCACGUUUAGUACUGGUCCGUGAUACAUUUCUCCUCUCGAAGUUUUGUCCGACUCAGCGACAACGUCAACAAAAGAUUAUCGAGAUAGUAAUAUAUCCGGCAGGGAAGCAAUGCAGAGCUCAGAUGAUAUCACCAUCAACAGCACAGCCUCUGUUAAGCGUCGAGGUUCAAAUAUGUUGAUACGAAACUGAGGAGAACUCAGGGCAAAUAUAGAAAGCAGAUGUGGAAAAAUCAAAGAAAUGACUUUUUAUAAAAGGUCAAAGCGAUUCUCUUAAUUCACCACCUCAAUGAUCAGAUUGUUGCAGUGUAACAGCGUUUUCCUACUGUAAAACAUUGCAGUAUCACAUUCACUGUUUAUCAUUUUCUAUUAUUCCUCCUCAA